UCAUAUGGGGAAUUGGCAGUUACAGAGAACAAAUUUGUACUGGUACAGAAUCCAGGAACACUGGUAAGGUUAAAUGCCUGCCAGAAAACAACUGAAAUAUUGUUGAAAAAUAGCAUUGAACUCAAAAUAAAAAAAACAAACAAAUCUUUUGCAGUGCAUUGGGAAGUAACAGUAAAGCAAAAUACCUACAGUCCAUGAAGUUGAGAAAUGAAGAAAUGCAGCUCUAAAUUGUUUAAUACGGUGUGUUAGGAAAACAAUUACUGGAUAGUGGAUAUUAAGCAUAGAAGUCAUGUGACACUGUGAAGUAACAGUAACACAGAAUGGCUGGAGACCAUUAACUUAAGAACUGAGGAGAUGCAGGUCUUUGUUCUACAUGGUGAUUGGUGGAACCAUGGUGCAGUUUUGAAUUUAUAAGGUGUGAAGUUACAGAAAAGCAGAAUAGCUACAGACCAUGAAAUUUAGAAAAUGAAGAGAUGCAUGUCUCAGUUCAGCAUGGUGUAUAUGGGAAACAUUGUGGGUCGCAGACAUGAAAUGAUUUGUGUGAAGUAACAGUUAAGCAGAAUGGCUACAGACAAUUAGUUCAGAAUUGAAGAAGAGAUGCAGAUCUUUGUUCUAUAUGGUGUAUGAGGGAACCAUGGUGGAAAUUUGGAUUUCAUGGCAGUCAUAGAAAUAUCUAAUAAGUCUGUAGGACAGUUAUAUGUGUACCAGUCUGUCAGACUAUUAUGUGUCUGUCCAGUUGAAAAAUUCGCAGUGGAUGCUUAGUUUCUCACAUAAUUUGGCAGAAUUUUCACACAAGACAGAUUGCAAAAGACUUUAGUGCCCCAAAACCUGAAAUGAGAGCGCUUGGACAAUGUGAAGUUUGUCGCAUAGACGGGGAUUGACCGCCUUUGUAUAUACAAGUCUACAACUUUUCAGAUUGACCGAAGACAAUUGUUUGGUGUUGUGGAUGGAUGUGGUUUGGCCGCAGGCUUUCCAAUCACACAGAAGAUACAGGUUCUAUCACAAGAAGGGUCACAUCAAUUGAUAUUAGUCACUGGAAAAAUUUGGAGAACCAGCUGUAGAUUCUCAGGUUGAAAUUUAUUAAGAGAAAUAUAUGAGGUAGGGCUCUGCAGUUUUCCAUAAACACAACAAGAAGUUCACAUUUGUUGCACAGAUUUGUGUCUCACAUGUAUGGAGUUGAAGGAAUAGUUACAGGAAAAGGGUACAGAAUAUGUAAGGAUAUGAUAGCCAAACACCUUCCCCAGGAUUCCAUGCAGCAACCUUCUGAUAGAAAGAUGUACCUGUUGUGCAAAGGGGAUAAGCUGGCUUGGUAACAGG